AGUGAACGCUGGCGGUAGGCCUAACACGUGCAAGUCGAACGGCAGCACAGGAGAGCUUGCUCUCUGGGUGGCGAGUGGCGGACGGGUGAGGAAUACAUCGGAAUCUACUUUUUCGUGGGGGAUAACGUAGGGAAACUUACGCUAAUACCGCAUCCGACCUACGGGUGAAAGCAGGGGAUCUUCGGACCUUGCGCGAUUGAAUGAGCCGAUGUCGGAUUAGCUAGUUGGCGGGGUAAAGGCCCACCAAGGCGACGAUCCGUAGCUGGUCUGAGAGGAUGAUCAGCCACACUGGAACUGAGACACGGUCCAGACUCCUACGGGAGGCAGCAGUGGGGAAUAUUGGACAAUGGGCGCAAGCCUGAUCCAGCCAUACCGCGUGGGUGAAGAAGGCCUUCGGGUUGUAAAGCCCUUUUGUUGGGAAAGAAAUCCAGCUGGUUAAUACCCGGUUGGGAUGACGGUACCCAAAGAAUAAGCACCGGCUAACUUCGUGCCAGCAGCCGCCGUAA
rnacentral:rRNA from 1 species